rnacentral:rRNA from 1 species
UCUCGAGGGGAGAAAGGAAUUUCAAGGGGGGAAAAGGAAAGACUGUUGCUGGUCGGGCUCCGUUCGACAUGUGCACGUCCUUUCUUUUCUCUUCUCUUCCUUUCUUCUUCUCACACACACACCUGUGCACUCAUUGUAGGUUCUCGAAAGAGAAUCUAUGUAUCUCUCUACAUCACACGUGACGUAUGGUCUGGAAUGUAUUUGAAUUUUUACAACUUUCAGCAACGGAUCUCUUGGCUCUCGCAUCGAUGAAGAACGCAGCGAAUUGCGAUAAGUAAUGUGAAUUGCAGAUUUUCAGUGAAUCAUCGAAUCUUUGAACGCACCUUGCGCUCCUUGGUAUUCCGAGGAGCAUGCCUGUUUGAGUGUCAUUGAAUUCUCAACCAUGUCUUGAUUGAUUUCGAGACAUGGCUUUGGAGGUUGGGAGUUGUCGGAUGUCUGAAGGACGGGUCGACUCUCCUUAAAUGCAUUAGCAAAGGGGGCAGCAAGUCUUCUUGGACAUGCACGGCCUUUUGACGUGAUAAUGAUCGUCGUGGCCGGAGUGUUUGGAUCUUGCAUCGAGCUCUGUUUGCUUCAAACUGUGAUGAUGGAAUCCCAAGCCUAGUUACUAGCCAGUCGUGAGGCUGGCGAACACAGGUGGGGGGUGACUUUGUCGAUCUUGAAAGCUUGACCUCAAAUCAGGUAGGACUACCCGCUGAACUUAAGCAUAUCAAUAAGCGGAGGAAAAGAAACUAACAAGGAUUCCCUUAGUAACUGCGAGUGAAGCGGGAAAAGCUCAAAUUUUGAAUCUGGC